UGCGGUAGCGCUUGAGGCCAUUGAGGCGGUCGAUGAAGAUGAGGCCGAAGCGAUCCAGGUAUCCAUCCCCCCACUCGAAGCAGUCCAUGAAGGUCCAGGUGAAGUAUCCCUUGACGUUGACGCCGUUACUGAUGGCGUGUUUCACGAACUGCAGGUGCUGGGAGUGGAACUUGAUCCGGUGCCCGUCCUUGAGCGCCUCACUGAGCGGGAUCCGAGGGCUGUUCUCCUCGGCGAUGCCGUUCUCGGUGACGUAGAUGACGGGGUUGUUGUAGCGGCGGGCGGUGUAGAGCAGGAGCUCGCGGAGCCCCGCAGGGGAGUUGAAGAAGAUGGGCACGAACUCCGGCUCGCCGACGGACACGCCGUCGCGGAACCCGGAGGUGUUGGCGCGGAUGUCGCCGUCGUAGGACUGCGCGAGCGCGUUGGCGGGAGCCGGCCUGUCCGACGUGAAGUAGGAGGUGUAGUAGUUGACGCCGAUGAAGUCGUACGACCCCUUCACCAUCGCCGCCUCCUCCGCCGUGAACCUCGGCAGCCGGCCGCCGAGGUAGGCGCGCAUGGUGCCCGGGUACUCGCCGCGCACGAUGGGGUCCAGGAACCAGCCGUACAUGAAGUCGAGGCUGCGCUGGACGGCGCGCUUGUCGGCGGCGGAGUCGGUGGUGGGCACGAACCAGUGCGACACCGCGGUGAGGCCGAUCUGCCCGCGCUGGGAAGGCUGGUACUUGGCCUGGUAGAGGCGCACGGCCCUGGCGUGGGCGAGGAGGAUGUGGUGCGUCACCACGUAGGGCUCGCGGCCGGAGUCACCGGGGGUGCAGGACCUGGAGAUGAACGGGGAGCACCGGCCCGGGGCGUGGGCGCCCGUGCCGUACCCCUGCGACGCGUACGUCCACGGCUCGUUGAACGUUGUCCAGAACUUGACGCGGUCGCCGAACUCCCGGAAGCACACCUCCGCGAAGUCCACGUAGUCCUUGCUGCACAGUUGCGAGUUAGUUCUGAUCAGCCUGUCAGGCAACUGAUCGAUGAUGAUAAUGUGCUCAGUUUUCUGUCAAGGUCAUGUAUGUUUGGCUAUAGGCAUCCAAAUGUGGAUGAUCGAGGCCGGAUGAUAUUCCUUAAUUAAAAAAAACAGAAAGGAAUUGGUCGAUGGCAUGUUGUGGCAGAUGCAUACAUGAUGUUCUCGCUGAGGAAGCCCUGGUACUUGGUCUCCAGGGCCUGGGGUGUGUCCCAAUGGAAGAGGGUGACGAACGGCUUCAGCCCUGUCACGAGAUUUUUUUUUUAUGUCAGUGUCAUCGUUGAAGAUGGAUUUUUAUAUAUGCCUCGUGGAUGCCAAGGACGAUUAGUUAAUUGAUGAUCAACUACCUACCAUUCGCUAUGACCUCGUUGAUGAGGUUGUUGUAGAAGGCCACCCCUUCCUUGUUGACUCCACCGCUCAGGGAGCCAGCUGCAGCAGCAAAGCACGUGGUGACACACAACUCAAAGCAAAGAAAUUCAGUGAUCUGGAUGGUCAGGUGGAGCUUGUGACCAGUACUCACUUGGCAGGAUCCUGGUCCAGGCAAUGGAGAACCGGAAGGCAUCCAUGUUCAUGUCCUUCAGGAGCUUCACAUCCUCCUGCAAAUUGGUCACAUUCCAUUUAUCAACGAUUAGUACAUACAUAUACAGCUCGACUCAGUGGUUUGAAAAUGCUAAGCACAUUGGAUUGGAGCUAAUGAUAAGUCAUCCAGUCACCUUGUAUCGAUGGUAAAAGUCUUCUGCUACAUCGCCAGUAUCAUUGUUCUUAAUUUUACCUGCAUUCAUUCGCAGACCGUGGGCAUGUCAGGGACUACCACUCGAUCUCUGCAGCUCAUCUUCAGACUAGGGACAACUUCAUAGAGAGAGACGCAUGAAAAGUUCGUUCAAGCAAACCUGGGAUGUGACUGAAGGUGUCCCAGAUGCUGGGACCUUUGCCUCCUUCCUUGUAGGCGCCCUCGUACUGCAACCGAUCAAAAAACAACACAUGUUCAGAGCCUCAGAUCACCAUGGCGCGAUGAUCCAUGAAUGCAGCAAGGAAUGAAGAACGUAGUACGUGGCAACGAACACAUGCAUGGCUGGAUGGCAGUGGCGGAGCUUGAACAAUUAACCAGGGGGGCAGCUAUGCUAAUUUGCUCUGAAAAUCAAUGAACAGUAACUGAUUCACUAUUCAUAUAGUGGAGAUUUCCAAUAGCCAGGGGUGACCAUGGCCCCCUUUACACUACACUAAGCUCCGCCCCUGCUGGAUGGUGAAUGCACACCACAAAUGCAGCUUGUGCAAAGGCAGACAGGAGACGGGGGUCGUCCAGAAUGUGCAGCCAGAGAUGAGCGUCAUCAUCACCUGAUACGACGCGGAGCCGGUGCCGAAGACGAAGCCCUCCGGGAAGCUGUACCUGCUGAACUUCGCGUGGGCGACGUUGCACGCGAGAGCUGCGAGGAGCAGAGCGGAGAGCACCCGCUUCGGCGCCAUCCCAGUUCCAGGACCCAUCGUUCUCGGAAGAACUGGGAACCGGAAAUGGCGAUGAAUCGGUGGUGCAGCACUGUCAGUUCCAAGCGCUAUUUAUAGAGGGAACCGCAGCAUUGCAAAGUCCCUACUCCCUAGCUGUCCUAAACGAUUCCUUACAUCUUUUACUCCUACAAAGUACCAACGAGUACCACUACCACAUCUAGAUUUUUUUUUCUAGAGGGGACAGGACUUCAUGAACGAGACAGCUCGAUCUCAGUGCCGGGAGGUGUGUACAUGCGGAUCUGGGCUGUCCAAGUUGACAGAUAGGAUUGUUUAGUUGGAUGAUCGGUGCACGCUGUGACGCUGACACCGUAACAGUUUCUCAUUGGGACGCCAAUUUGUUUGCUCGAUUUGGUCUUCGCUCUUGAUUUCAUGGCCGGGUUGACUCGAAUAUUGCGGAUGCGGCGGAGGUUCAGAUGUGCGCAUCGAUGGAAGAGUUGAGCUUUAAUCGGAAAGGACGAUGAUCGUGGAUCUGAUAAUGCGGAUCGUGGAGAGUUGAGAUAUGCGGAUCAGAGAGAGUUGAACUCACGCCCAAAUUGCAGCCAAACGAUUGAUAAAUUGGAAUGUAUUAGGUGAGUAUACUGUAGUACUGUACUCUUUUUUUUAUAGAAUCAUACGGAUACACGUACGCACACUCGCUCCUAUGAACAUACGCACGCAACUAUCGUUGUCAAGAUUAGCAGAUGAAGACCACAGCUAGUAAAUUUCUUUUAUGCGUGCAAGGCUUCGGAUGGUGGCGUGAGAGGACACGGGGUUAGACUGGUUCGGGCAAGGAAAGCCCUACGUCCAGUAUGGGGAGCAGCUCGUGUUACUCACGCAAGGUCUGUAGUAGGGGUUACAAACGGGCAAGAGAGGGAGCCGGUCCCAAGUCUCUUGGGUGUGCACUGAUGCUCUAGAGGUGAGUAUGUGGGUUCUGUUGGCUUCUGAGUCCUCCCGGUAUUGGGGCCCCUGGUUCUCCUUUUAUAGCGCAAGGAAGACCCAGGGUUACUGGUGAACCGGGUGUGUGGAGAAGUAAAAGAGAUAAGCUAAGUAAAGUGCAAGGGGAAGGACCAAGUCCCCGGGUCGCCGCCUCCCGCUCCGGCUUCCGGCUCUUGUCAGCGUGUCCACCGGAGAAGGGCGGCUAUCUUCGGAUCCUGUCGACGAUCUUCCUGGCGACCGCUGCCGUCAAGCACGAUGAUGGCGUUCGGUUGUGGCAACUGUGCAUGUAGGGGAGACGGUCCUGUUGCCCUGCUUAUGGCCCGUGGAACACGGACGUCACGUCCCUACCACCGGAUACGCGGGGCGUGAAAACGGGCGGAGCUCCCCCCUGUACCGGGCGGCGCAUGCCAUGAGUGCCCUAUGGCGUAUCAAGGGGAGCCGCGGCCACUGUAACCUGUGCGGUCGUGGCUACAGUGUUCCGCUCGGGUACUUGUGGCAGGUCACGUCGAGGGGCACGGGCGCCUUUCUGCGCGCAAGAGCCGCGACGCAUUUAUGGCGAGAUCAGUAGGGGGCCCACGAGAUCCGCGCCCUCGUCUGCCAACUGCGCCCGAGGCGGACCCUUGUUUUGCGGGCCCGGAUGGGUCCGACCCCCUACGCCCAGGGUCGGGCAAGGCGGAGCCUUGCGGCGAGGGGUCGGACGCUCCCGACCCUGGGACCGUGGGUUGGGCGAGGCGGAGUUUCACCAUCGAGGGAUCGGGAGUGUCCGACCCCGAGGCCCUGGGUCGGGCGAGGCGGAGCGGGAUGUUCCCUGCCCAUGCUGGGCUAAUGGUAAUCGUUAUUACCGUAGGUGGGCCUGGGCCUCUGUGAUUGUUGUUUUGAGGGGUAUUAGGAGGUCGUUAAUAUUUCCCCCCAAUAACAACCCUACCCUAUAAGCACCUCCGAAAUACUGAGCCGGCAAAUCCUCGAGAUUAACAAAAUCAUCACUGACACGUCGCUGUCGACAGGCACGUCGCCUACACCAGUUAAAUUAUGGAAUAAAUUCAGAAAAAUGCGAGCAUCAGUGCUGAGUCGAGGACUUGAAGUCUAGUAGUCAGGUUCCACCACAACGAACCUAACUAGCUAAGCUACACUCCGUUCGCUUUUUAGCACAGACUUGUACUCGUAGACUAGGUCACCAGCAUCAUAGACAGGAUACCGUAAGACCUGUUUGGAAGGCCUCGGCUUGAAUAGACAUGAGUAUUUUUCAGAUCGGGUUGGUCUUGUUCUUAAAAAAAGAUCGGUUCAUUUCAGGUUGAAAAUUUAAUUCAUCCCUAAUCUUAAUCUGAAUUUAGGUGAACUCCAGGACCACGCACAAUUAGAAGCGCAAUAGGCUUCAAGCGGUGCAUCAAGGAAAGAGUCGCAGAGUCUAUCUGGAUGAUGAACGUUGUUGCUAGGGAGGUGCUUGAAGAACCAGAUGUAGAGUCGGGCUAGCAAUCGAUUAAUGCGGUGGGGCAGUAUAUGCCAUAGUUUGGGGGACUCCAGAGCUAUGCACAACUUGGAGCAUAGUAGGCUUCAAGCGGAGAUGGCGUGCAGGCUAUAUGCGACAGCCAAUAGUCCACGAGUGGAGGGAUAAGAGAGAGAGUUGGUGAUUGGGAACGGCAGCGCUCACCCUUUGGGUCUGGCAGCACCAAAAAGUUUUGAUGGCUUUCGUGGUGGCGAAGUCAGCUGAGGUUUUAGCUAUGUAUAUUGAUCAAUGGACAUGCCCAUCCCAACCGCAAACAUUUGCUAGUUAAUUAUAAAAUUACUAGGAUUUGAUCUGAACGAGGCGUAUGACCGUAGGAGUCGUGGAUUUGAUGUGUACACGCACACGCACAAUGAGGCGUGACUGCGCAGCACAGAUUCUCACAGGCCCACGAGGAUCCUGGCCGCCGAGAUGCCCUCUCUCACGUCAGCUCCUUAGCCUCGAGCCCUCGACAUUGCCGACAUCCAGUCAUCCACACAAGGUGCAUCAAACCACCCGAGUACUUUUGCUUCUAGCUUGGGGGUUCCAUUCAUGCUCAUAAAUGCCAGUUCGUUCCUGAUGCUUUAGCUUGCCCAACCAGCUUGUGUGGAUACGUGGAAUGAACAGGCAGUUUGGAUGUUUAAUGAUUCUGUACCAGAACACAGCGGGCUGCCCAAAAAGGAUUUGUUUUGUUAGUUGUCGUUAGUUUAAGCCCAUUGGUAUUACGAGCAAAGGAAAAAAGAACAGAUUUAUAUAUGCAUCAAGCCUUGCUUAGAAGUCAGAUCAAUUUGUGUGUGCUCCAUGAUCUAUAGCCUAGAUGUCUGAUUUUUAUGGAAUGUUUAUUCGGCAUGAGAUGAGAAGGAACGAGCAAACUACCAAACAAACAUAAGAAUCUGUACAAGCAUUCGUGCCGACUUGGAGCUAAAAUACAGUCACUAUUCCAAAAGAAAUCUUCAUUCCAAUUUCCAGGACGCAUGCCCAUCUCUCCUGAAAGCCCGUCCAACCAACCUCCAGUAUCGAGUCUGCUUCAUCUUCUGUGAACUCCAAUGUUUGCAUAGAAUAAUUUGUGUAUUUAUACUUUUCAAAAAAAAUAAUUUGUGUAUUUAAAACUUAAAGUAGCUAAUUAGUGUCAUCACCAUCUUGAUGUUUCAAUUGACAAAGCGAAGUUAGACCAGGAAAGGAGUCAUGAAAAAUCAAGGGAGCGGUAACAAGACAAUCGGAUGCAGUGAUCUUGCUUGUUAGAAGUGAACAAUCAAGUCUUCAUACAUGAUCCUUAUUGAUCCUCUGAAUUACUACUUUCAAUUUACAAGGUUCUGAUGAUGAAAAUGACCAUGAUGCACGGAGUUAUCAACAAAUGGGCUCAAUUAGUGACAUGUGGCAUGAUAGGAAGCCCCGGAUUGAGGCCCGGCUCUCCUCUUGCCUCGCAUUGCAUGGGCUCAGUCAGGGACCUUUCAAUUCACCGCCAGGGUGCCAAUCGGUUUUGGCCUUUUGGGUGGAUCGGAGUGGUUGCAGUCCUGCACGCGGCUAGGUAUCGGCAAAACAUGCGGUAGACAACCCUCUUCUGAAUUCUGAGUUGGAUUACUACUUCAUGAACCCCGUGCUCCCGCACGGGUUAAUAUUUUUAGAAAUUAUUAUAUUUAAAAAUUAUUUAGAAAUUAAACUCCUAGCUAAUAAUCUAAAUUAUUUAUCUACUACUCUCUUAUUUUUCAAUACUUCAACAUAAUACUUAUAUAGAUAUGUACCUAUCUUUGUCCAGUUGUGAUUGAUUUUUAAUUAAUAAUUACUCAAUGCACUUUUUCAUCCAUAUUCAUAUUUUUUCAAUUUUGUAUCACACCUCCAAUCCUCCAUACAUUAUGUUUAGCAUACAAAUCAAUAUUUUUCAGCGAUUCCUCACAUGCAUGUAUCAAUGGUCUAAAUGGUGGCACUCAUCAUGUGUAUAUACUUUAAAUUAGUAUUUAUAUAUUAACAAUGACAUAAAUAGGUAAUUUAAAAUCAUAUAUUAAUUUACUUUUUGAUAUUUCUGUAUGAUGCACGUGAAGAUAAUUAGAUUAAGAUUUAGGUGCUUUACUUUAGGUUAUUUUUAAUAACGACAUGCAUGGAUAAAAUAGAUAAAAUUUUAGAAUGACAUUUUAAGUUAUGCUUUAUAAUGAUGUGUAUCAGUAAAUUGGAUGAAGGUUAUGGGGUUAUUUUAGAUUAUUUUUUAUAAUAGCUAUGCUCGGUAAUUGAAAUAUAGGUUUAGAGCUCAUUUUUUAAUAUUUUCACAAUAAUAGUGGUGGGUAACUUUUUAGAAAAUAUAAUAUAUCAAUGGCUAUGGUUAUUAGAGUUUACAGGAUUGGCGUUUGACGUUUUAAAUUUUUAUGAGAAUUUGUCUCUUUUUUCUGGUUUGUCUCAUGGGAACUAAUGCGGAGCCUCCGAUGAAAAAAAAUGAGACUACACUGCUAAAAAACUAUUACCAUAAGCUAGCUCUCGUUUGUUAAAUAUUCGAACACACAAUGCUUAUGUAGAUAUAUACUCCCUCCGUCCACGGAUACUAGGCGCGAUUCAAAAAUUGCAAAGACCAAGGAAGACAUUAAUCACGGCUCGUUGCCAGAAAAAACGUUCGGUUCCUCCCCGUAAUAACUUCACGCUCCGCAUUCUCCGUAACGCGCCGUUAACCGAUCGAGCACGCUCCGCAUUCUCCGUCUCCAGUGCAUGCAUGCACCAUGCAGCCGCUCGCGCGAGUUUUUCCGAGAGCCCGCGUUCCUUCCCGUUUCCACGCGCAUUUUUUCCUUCCAAUUUUCACACCUGCAUGCAGAUCCAAAUCUCACCCGCGCUAUUUUUUCGGCUUUCAUCUACAUCCGCUAAUUUUUCAGAUUCAUCUACGCCCGCGCUAUCUUUUCAGCUGUUGGCGCCUAACUAGUUUGGUUUUUCGGCAUGCAAGUGGCGCCACUAAUGGCUCGUUUGUGUUCCUAUAAAUAGGCAAUGCAAGCACGCGUGCGGCUGACAACAUUCCUUUCUCUAAUCUUCCUUCUUUGUUUGAACACCAUGCCUGGUAUAGAUUUGAAUGAACCUAUCAACUGGGAUGAGAUUGGGGAAUUUGAGGGAGAAGUACAUGAGUUGAACUACGACUAUGUUUGGGACGACAGCAACGAAGGUAAUCACAGAGACUUUUCUCUCUUUUUUUUGUAUUCUUUCAUUGUACGAGCGGUGUACUUAUUGGCAAUGAUACAGCUGACGGCGAAGACAACAACGACCAAGAUGAAGAUGGCCAAGGUGAAGGUGACGGCAACACAGCUGAAGCAGAAGCAGUCCAUGGCGAACCUGAAGCAGUCCAUGGCGAACCUGAAGCAGGCAGCGGUGCACACACAGUGCAGCAAGUUCAAGGGGCGGCCUCUGUGCAGCAAGUUGAGGAAGCUGGUUACGUGCCUCAAGCAGACGCCGGCGAUGAAGCUGAUGUUGUGGCAUUUGACUUAGGUACUCCAUUGCAUGCACUCAUUAUUUUAUUUUUAUUUUUAUGCAUGCAAAGCUGAAUGAACAGUCCCAUGCAAAAUUUGAGUAUGCCAAUGUCUUUGUGUAGGCACUCCUGCCAAUAUCAAGAGGAGGCGGUACUACCCUCCUGAAUUUAAAAGAAUCAUGUACGCGAUGUGCUUAGAAAGAAUAACUCCAGGCGUGCUGAAGGAGGGAGUGACGAAAUCUGUUGCUAGUGAUAUGGGGGUGCCGUUGAGAGUUGUCCAGCGUGCAUGGCGUGAAGGGAAAACUGGUGGUGGAAUUUCAGCUUUUGAUUCCAAUAAGAAAAAAAAUUGUGGCGGUAAAAAACAUCCAUUUAACCCAGAUGUAAUCAAAGAUGUGCCACUUAGAGAGCGUCAAACUAUCCGUAGCCUAGCCAAUUCCAUUAAGAUGCCAAAGAGCACAUUGCAUAAGCGUCUACAAGAAGGAAAGUUUAGGCGCCAUACAAAUGCCAUAAAGUUCACCUUAACUGAACAAAACAUGAAGGAACGUGUGCGAUUUUGCACACAAAUGCUUGACAACCUUAGCUUACCAGAUGACCCAACAUUCAAAUCUUUGUACAAUGUCAUUUACAUAGAUGAGAAAUGGUUUUAUAGGACAAAGAAAAACCAAAUUUAUUACUUGGCGCCGGGCGAAGAGAUCCCUCGUAGAGCUGUGAAGAGCAAAAAUUUCAUUGAAAAGGUGAUGUUUCUUGCUGUGACAGCCCGCCCAAGGUUUGAGAAUGGUGUAUGCACAUUUGAUGGUAAAAUAGGAAUUUUUCCCUUCACUAAAUUGGAGCCGGCCAAGAGAAAAAGUCCCAAUAGGCCGAGAGGUACGAAUUUUAAUUUUGUUUAAAUAGGAGCACUAAGUAUAGCAACUCUACUUAUCUUGGUUACUCUACUUGCAUGCAUGGUUGAUUACAGGAACCAUGGAGGUAAAGGCCAUGACAUCGAUCAACAGAGAAACUAUCCGUACGUUUCUAGUCGACAAGGUCUUGCCUGCCGUCAAAGAAAAAUGGCCUGCUGAAGAACGAGGACGCCCAAUAUUCAUUCAACAAGACAACGCGAAGACUCACAUUGCAGUUGAUGACCCGGAUUUUUGCCGUGUUGCAAAAGAAGAUGGGUGGGAUAUAAGGUUGACGUGUCAGCCACCCAAUUCUCCUGAUCUUAAUGUUUUGGAUCUAGGCUUUUUUGCAGCCUUGCAGGCAUUGUUUGAAAAGUCAUCUCCGUCAACCAUCCAAGAAAUUGAGGCUAAUGUGGUUAAAGCCUAUCUAGAAUACCCGGUGGACAGGGCAAAUCGUGUGUUCCUUACACUACAAGCAUGCACGAGGGAGAUUAUGCUUGCAAAAGGAGGACAGCAUUACAAAAUUCCGCAUAUGAAUAAGGGAACAUUGGAGAGAACUGGUCAACUUCCAAUAAGGCUGCAAGUAGAGAAGGAAAUUUAUGUAGAUGCAGUGCGUUUCAUCACUGCAUAGCUUACAACAUGUCUCUUUUUUGUUUGAUCUUCAGCAAACUAGACUGCAUGUAAUCGAUUACAUCAUGAAAACAUUUAGAUCAUUCAUGCAAUUCAGGAAAACUAGGAAAAACGAUUUUGUACAUCAUAGGACGGACGAUUGCAAGGGCCUUCUCAUUUGGUUCCCUUUCUUUUUCUCUUUCGGCAGCAACAGCUGCAGCAAUGCUAGCUUCUUCCUCGACGUCCUCAAAUGAGUCUGGAACAUAGGUGUCGCCGGCUAGUGAGUCAGGGACAUACCGAAUGCUGUCAAAGUCGAUCUCGGCGCCAUGAUCGACAUCGGCCUUGGUCGCGAGCGGAUGACCUCCAGAUUCACCGUUGGCUUGCUGUUGCAUGGAGACGGCAUCUUCAUAGCUUUUCUUCGCCAGCUGCCGCGCGCGGAUGGCACGGACACGAAAGGCUCGAGCGCGGCGGAGCUCUAGCUGCGCUUGCUGCUGCAUGCAUCGGGCGCGCAUGCAACGGGCACUCACGACCUGCCGCUUCGCCAUCGUCGGUCAAAUGCAAGUGAAGUGGUAAGAGAUGAGAAGCCAGCGAGAGAUGCAUGCAAGGACUACUAUUCUGGGUAGAUAUAUGGACUCAGUUAACGCCAUAACGUCUAGAUUCAACGGGAGGGGAGUGGUACGAGGAGUCCAGCGCUCCAGCAAUUAAUCCAGCCGCCGAUCCAGCGCAUGCGCAGCCCCUUGCGCCUAGUAUCCGUGGACAAAUAGAAAAAGUAGUUGCGCCUAGUAUCCGUGGACGGAGGGAGUACUUAAUAUCUUCAUCCAAUUGUGAUAUAUUUUAGUUAGUAAUUACUCUAUAAUAUUUUCAUCCACAUUUAUAAUCUUUAACUUUUCACUUUGCAUCGCAGGUAUGCGCUUGAAUUUGUUUAAUGAACCUUAAGUUUGAGAUACAAUUUUAGCAUAGAAAUCUAUAUUCUCAUCACUUUAUAUCUUAUAAAUGGUGACACACAUCAUGCGUAUAGACCUUAAUUAUUAUAUCGUAUAACAAUAGUGCAAGAUAUAAACGAUUUAGAAUCAUAUAUUGCUGUAUAUUUUAAAUUAAGGUUAUUUGAUUCAAACAUAAAGUUACCUCAUGUUAUUUUUAAUAAUAGCAUGUGUGGGUAAUAUAGAUGCAAAUUUAAGGGGUUACUUUAAGUUUUUUAAGUAAUAGUGGGAGGCAAUUCAGUUGCAAAUUAGGGGGUUAUUUUAUAUAUUGUUUAUAAUAGCAUAAGUGGGUAAUUUUGAUGAAGAUUAGGGGGUUACUUUAGUUUAUUUUUUAUAAUGGCAGAGGUGGGUAAUUUAUAUAUAGAUUUAGGGGGUUACUUUAGGCUAUUUUCAUAAUGGCAUAGGUGGGUAAUUUUUUAGAAAAUGUAAUAAUCCAAUGGCUAUGAUGAUUUUAAUCUAAAUCGGUCAGAUGUUUUGUUUUUUUUGAGAAUUUCUAUGAUUUCUCUCUUUUUCUAGAGUGUCCACCUAGAAAUCCUAGGUGGCUUCACCUUAAGGCUUCAAAAGGAGCCUCCAAUUAGUAAUAGUAAGAUGGUGAGUAAGGGUUUCUUUCUAGGCAACAUAUCGUGUGCAAACCAACCAACCUGUGCAAACUUGGAAACUAACAAUCAGGACCACUAGAUGCUGAUCCAAUGGAUGGGGUAAAAGGUGGGACGAUUUUGCGCUUAAGCCCCCCCACCUGCCAGCCUUUAUUCCAAAAAAAACCCCUUCCCUCUAUUUCCCCAUCGCCCUAGGCGUUUCACUGGGCAGGCCGCCGCCACACCCGUCACGCCGUGCGCCCGGUGCCAGUCCCGCCGCUGAGCGCCCGUGUCCCGCCGCCGCCCGGCGCCCGUGUCCCACCGCCACCCCUUCUCCCUCCGCUAACAGUUUUCGAUGCCCGAUUGCCGCCAGGCAGGUCCAUCGUCGCCAUCGUGAGUCCUGCCAGCCAUCGCGAGUCCCGCCAGGUGAGUUCAUUUUUUAAACUACUGGCCAACGUUGAUUCCUUUUUUAAACUACUGGCCAACGUUGCCAACGUUGAUUCCAGCAGCACAAAAGUAACUCACCUGGUUUUUGUAUCGUUCCGCAAGUGUGCCCGAUUUCCUUUUCGUUUGAUCUGCUACUCCAUCUCGUGACCUUGUGUUUGCCUUGCUAUCUUGCAGGAGAAUGUACCCGGACGGUGCGAUGAUGCGGAACGACGGCGACAGCGGCAUGGCCGCGUGCAGCUCCGCCCACUACAUGGACACCGGCUUGGGCGAGACAUUGACAGGGAAUGACGCGUCAAGUUAUGGACAACGAACGGGCAUGGACGGCGGACAACAGCAAGAGCUGCAGCAGCCAUGGACAGGGAAUGACACCCUCUCUAAAGCCGUCGCCGUUGAUCCCGCCGUCGUCGGACUUACAGGAAGAAAUUUUGAGGCUGCCACCAUGGAUCAUUUGAAGCCUGUGGUUGGAAUAAUGUUUGAUACACUUACAGAUGUGGAGAAAUUUUACAAAUCAUAUGCACAUGAUGCUGGUUUCUCUGUUCGUGUUGGUCAGCACAAGAAGCAAAAUGAUGAAAUAUUAUUCAAGCGGUAUUAUUGUUCAAGGGAAGGGUACAGAAAGGAGAAUGUAAAAAAUGUUAUUGACGAAUCCGGAAAAAAGAGAAAGACACAUAAUGUGAUGGAAACCAGAUGUGGUUGUGAGGCACAUAUUGUUGUCAAGCUUUGCAGUGACAAGAAGUAUCAAAUAGCUUCAAUGGUUGAGGAGCACAGCCAUGGUUUUGUGUCACCAGAUAAGAGGCAUUUGCUAAGAUCCAACCGUAAUGUUAGUGAGAGAGCAAAGAGUACUUUGUUCAGUUGUCAUAAGGCCAGCAUUGGCACCUCACAGGCAUAUAGACUUCUCCAUGUAAGUGAGGGUGGAUUUCAGAAUGUUGGGUGCACGCUGAGGGAUUUACAAAACUAUUACCGUGACCUCAGGAGCAAAAUCAAGGAUGCAGAUGCACAAAUGUUUGUGGCACAACUUGAGCGAAAGAAGGAAGUAAAUCCUGCCUUCUUUUAUGACUUUAUGGUGGAUGAACAAGGACGACUUGUUCGUGUGUUUUGGGCAGAUGCCUUAUGCAGGAAAAACUAUAGUGUUUUUGGUGAUGUGGUUUCGGUAGAUUCAACAUACACUACUAACCAAUAUAACAUGAUUUUUGUACCAUUUACUGGAGUCAAUCAUCACUUGCAAAGUGUUUUCCUAGGGGCAGCAUUCUUGGCAAAUGAAAAGAUCGAGUCAUAUGUAUGGUUGUUUAACACCUUUCUUAAGGCUAUGCGUGGAGUAGCACCUCAUCUAAUCAUAACAGAUGAAGAUGCGAGCAUGAAGGCUGCUAUUGCUCAGAUUCUACCGGAUACAACUCACAGACUUUGCAUGUGGCAUAUCAUGGAAAAGGUACCUGAGAAGGUCGGACCCUCUAUAAGAGAGGAUGAACAGUUCUGGGAUAGACUGCACACGUGUGUUUGGGGCUCCGAGACUUCAGAUGAUUUUGAGUCACAAUGGAAUUCUAUCGUAACAGAUUUUGCACUCAUGGGAAAUGAUUGGUUUUCCACAAAGUUUGCCAUGCGUCAAUCAUGGAUUCCAGCAUACUUUAUGGACAUACCUCUAGCAGGAAUCCUUAGGACUACGUCACGAUCGGAGAGUGCAAAUUCUUUUUUUAACCGUUUCAUUCAUCGAAAAUUGACCUUUGUUGAGUUUUGGCUAAGGUUUGACACAGCAUUGGAGUGCCAGCGCCAAGAGGAGUUGAAAGCUGACAAUGCAAGUCUUCACACCACUCCUAAAUUAAUGACACCAUGGGCCAUGGAGAAGCAAUGUAGUGUGAUAUAUACACAUGAAAUUUUUAGUAAAUUUCAGGAACAAAUCGUAGCUGCAAGAGACCAUUGCAUUAUUCAAGGCAUUACAGAGUGUGAAGAUAUAAAAAUUGUCACCAUCAGUAGUCUAUCUGGAAAAGAGCGAGUGGUUCAGUUGAACAAGUCAGACAUGUUUGGUAGGUGCUCCUGUAAAUUAUAUGAGUCCUAUGGCAUCCCGUGCCGUCAUAUCAUACAAGUGCUUAGAGCCGAGAAGAAAAAUGAGAUACCAUCGAUUUAUAUUAUGAAGAGAUGGGAGAAAAGAUGUAAAAGGUUUGUAUUGUAUAAUUUUAUUUUUCUAUAGCUGUUUUGUAGAAUAGUCUUGAUCAGAUAUUCAAUUUUACAGGGAACUAUUCUUUGAUGAAGAAGGUAACCUGCUGGAUGAAAAGCCUGAAGAUCCUAUGGAGGUGGCAAUGCGGAAAAAGAUUUCAGAUUCACGCAACCAGUUUGAAGAUCUUAUCCAAAUGGCUAAGAACUCUGAACAAGGGAUGGACUUUUUAUUUUCUAGUUUAUGCAACCUAGUAGAACCUCUCCAAAAGAUCACGCCUGCUACGAGAGUUAAUAAACAAGAUGAGUAUGAAUCUUUCCUUGGCAGUAAAAUUCCAAAUAAAGUCGAGAUACAUCCACCAAAUGAUAUCAAGUCGAAAGGGAGAUGCAAAAGAAUUAAGAAGAGCAAGGAGAUGAAGGCUGGAAGCAAGGGUAAAGGUAAACGGACGUGUGGAAAAUGUAAGCAAGUAGGGGAUCAUGAUGCACGCAAUUGCCCAAACAAUGUUGUUGGCUGAUUUUUCAAGUUCAUGUAAUCAUUUAAGACCUUUUGGAAUGCUUGUUGAGUGAUAUUUCAACUUCAUGUACCCAUUGAAGACUUUUUGGAAUGCUGCUUGUAAACACUUUCAUCAUAGAGCAUAUAUCAUUAUACAACAUGGACAUGGAGUCCACUGCAAUUUAUUUCAUCAGUGCAUUUACAUAAAUAUCAUUGUAUUUACAUCCUUACACAUAAGUCAGUCAUUACACAUAUUACUGCCUUACACAGAGUACAUUCAGAUUGCUAAUGAAUCACUAAUUUCAUUGCAAAUGCAAGACUCAAAGUAACAGCUAGAGGCAGCCCUUCAGGAACAGCAACAACAAUAAUAGUGUCUGCUGUUACAAAGUAGUUCACUAUGGUCAACAAUAAUCGGCUUCUCAAUUUCAGAUGGCUUCAGGCUUCAUCUCACGUUUCCUUGGUAAAACACGUUUAGUGUUCUCACGUCAUAAAACAUUUAACCUUAGAUUUCCUUGGUAACCACGUUUAGUGUUCUCACGCAGCAGGAAUAAUUUUAGAAGAUCUCUUAACCUUAAAGUUUAUAGCUGGCUUGACUCUUUCGUGAAUUCCUGUAGAAUAUUUUAUUAGCAACAAGAAUAUAAAAACAAUUAGUAGCUUUUAAGCACGAUUACAUCCCAAAGCCAACACCUAUUCUUCAAAAAAAAAAGCCAACACCUAUUCUUCAAAAAAAAAAAGUCAACACCUUUGACAACUUCAUGUGAAAGGGUAGGAAUAUAAAUCCCAGCAUAUGAUUCACCAGCUAUGUAAAAUGGAUUUGUCAGGAACUCAUGGUAGAGCUGAAACCACUGUUAAGAGUAAAAGAAAAAAGAAGAGAGAAAGAACUCAGGUUUUUGUUCCUCAAGAAGAUGAUAAAUAUCCAGAACCAACAUGAUGAACCUCUACAUAUACGAAUACGAUAUACCUUGAGAAGAAAAGUAUGCAAAUCAUUAGCAGUCUGAAGGUCGCCAGUUGUAUAAGGUUUGGACUUAUCCUUCGCGUAUGACAGACCAACACCAGCAGGGGAGUCCAAGUAUAUCACACUAGACACCUGAAACGAAAUGGAACAACGCAAUUCUCGUUAAGAUUAUUGAAGAACAGAUAGUUUCUGCGCUUACAUUAUGUAAAUAGAUCCAACCUUGGACCAGCUGUACGGGUUGCGAUGAAGCUUUGGCAGGCUUCGAGCUGACCCUCCUGACUCAAAGUUGAAUGGUCCUGAACGAGAAAGCCACAGAGGAUGCAGCAUCAGUUCCAGAUUCAGAAGGCACAAGCUGGUACUGAAAGCUUCCCCUUGUUCCAUGCUCCUGAAAGCUUCAAAUCAUGCUCCUGAAAGCCAGAGGGUACUGAAAGCUUCGAAUCAUGCUCCAUCCUCCUAUAUUUCCCCUUGUUCCAUGCUCCUGAAAGCUGGUACUCUCAAAUUAUGCUUGUCAUAAUGCUUCAUUUGAAUUCUUUAUCAAAUUAUGACAACACAGCUUGCAAACCUGCAGGCUUGCCAUCAAUCUCGAUAUCAAAGUAGACCUUGUGGGUGACCUCCGUCAGGUCCUUCUUCGCCUGAAAUCCCGAUAAAUUUUUCCAUGACGCAUCCAUAUCGAUAUCCGUACAGGAAAAAAAACAAAUCAGAAGUCAAACACAACAGUUAGCUACUUGUAUAGUUGGAUCCGUAUCUAACAGAUUCAGACACCAGCGCAAGCGUCGCAGAUAAUCAAAUCGACGAAUAGCUAGAGCAGUAACGCGUACUAAUCAGAUCAGAUCGCGGAAACAAACACGCAGAUGGGGAGAAGGAGAAGUGCAAACUAUGGGUAGGUGGGCAGGGGACGGACGAGGUUGAUGAGAACCUGGGUGAGGCGAGCGUCAGGGCGGCGCUGAGGGCCAUGGGCGGCGGCGGCGAGCAUGCGGGCGGUGAUGGACAGGGGCGGCGCCGGGUGCACGGGCGAUCCCUUCGCGUGGCGGCGGCCUGGGUGAAAUGGAAGGAAAGGCACGGGGUGAUGGGGAAACAGGAGGAGGAACGGAGUUAGAAUCGCCGGGGGGUUUUUGGAAAAAAGGCUGGCAGGUGGGGGGCUUAAGCGCAAAAUCGUCCCACCUUUCACCCCAUCCAUUGGAUCAGCAUCUAGUGGUCCUGAUUGUUAGUUUCCAAGUUUGCACAGGUUAGUUAGUUUGCACAUGAUAUGUUGCCUUCUUUCUAACCUUUUUGUUGCAAUUAGAUUUCAUUUGGAAGUUCACAUAUUGAAAAUAGCAUGUUCUCAUAAAAACAUUGUAAACUAUUUUGCAAAAGAGAGAAAAAAAUAUUGAUAACAAACUUUCACAUUCAAACUUGCUUAGAAAUCAGUAGGCAUCUUUGAACUUUGAAAUAGCCACUCACCGCAACAGCAAGUACCAAACAGAGUCUAAAUCAAUCGAGAUCAAAUAUAUCCUGGUCACAUCUUCACUUUGUUCAUUCUGAUUGAGAGGAAUGGAACUACAAUGCACACGUCCGACUGACAGAUAGCUCAGCAGCGAGCUUUAGGGCCUGUUUGGCUCACCAUGUUAAACUUUAGCAUCCGUCAUAUCGAAUAUUUGAUACUAAUUAAAAGUAUUAAACAUAGUCUGAUUACAAAAUUAAUUGCACAGAUGGAGUCUAAUUCGCGAGACGAAUCUAUUAAGCCUAAUUAGUCCAUGAUUUGACAAUGUGGUGCUACAGUAACCAUUUGCUAAUGAUGGAUUAAUUAGUCUUAAUAGAUUCAUCUCGUGAAUUAGACUCCAUCUGUGCAAUUAGUUUUGUAAUUAGCUCAUGUUUAAUCCUUCUAAUUAGCAUCCGAACAUCCGAUGUGACCCUGCUAAAGUUUAUUACCUCAUAUCGAAAUACCCCAAGAGUACUCCAAAAAAUUCUUCCCCAAAACUAUUAUUGGGGGUUCUUCCAAAAAAAAAAUCCAAAAAACAUAUCAAUCCACAGCAGAUCGCUAAUAAAUAGCCCCCAAUAUUUUAAAACAGGCCACGUCAUCGUAUUGGGCCCAUCGGAAGGGACGCAUGAGCGUGCGGGAAUCAGGAUUGGGGGAGGAAUGCCAACGCUAAAAUAUACACGGUGGUAGGUUGUUUUUUAGCGUUGCUAAAAAAUUGGGGAAGGUUUGGGUGGACUGUUGGGGUUCGUUUUUUCUCUUUUUUCCCUAAAAAAAUAUUGGAAGUAAGAUUAACAGCCUCUUGAAGUUGCUCUUAUUCCCGCACACUCCACGACAGCAACAGCGACCCCAUAGACUACAGGCACACACAGCAGCAAUCACUCUCUGCAAGCAAACACACCCGGCCCAUCCGCAAGACCGCGAACAGAUUAAGUGCCAUUGGCAACAACGACGCGGCGGCACCAGCUGUAGUUGCUGAAAGAACAGGGGAUCGAUCGACGAUGUGGAUGGACCUCGUGACCAGUGGGCGCGGCGAUCUUCGUUCCAUCUAAUACCGCUUCAGGAAGUUCUCUAUCCAGUAGCUUGACUGCUUGCGGUAGCGCUUGAGGCCAUUGAGGCGGUCGAUGAAGAUGAGGCCGAAGCGAUCCAGGUAGCCGUCGCCCCACUCGAAGCAGUCCAUGAAUGUCCAGGUGAAGUAGCCCUUGACCUUGACGCCGUUCCUGAUGGCGUGGUUCACGAACUGCAGGUGCUUGGAGUGGAACUCGAUCCGGUGCCCGUCCUUGAGCGCCUCCUCGAGCGGGAUGGAGGCGUUGUUCUCCUCGGCGAUGCCGUUCUCCAUGACGUAGAUGACGGGGUUGUUGUAGCGGCGGGCGGUGUAGAGCAGGAGCUCGCGGAGCCCCGCGGGGUAGUUGAAGAAGAUGGACACGAACUCGGGCGGGCCGAUGGGCACGCCGUCGCGGUAUCCCGAGGUGUUGGCGCGGAUGUCGCCGUCGUAGGUCUGCUCGAGCCCGUUGGGCGGCGCCGCCGCCGAGGUGUAGUAGCCGGUGUAGUAGUUGACGCCGAUGAAGUCGUAGGAGCCCUUGACGAGUGCCAUCUGCUCCGGCGUGAACCGCGGCAGCCGAUCACCGAGGUAGCUGGUCAUGGUGCCCGGGUACGAGCCGUGCACGAUGGUGUCGAGGAACCACCCGUAUAUGUAGUCGAGGCUGCGCUGCACUGCCUUGCGGUCUUCGGCGGAGUCGGUGUUGGGCACGU
rnacentral:lncRNA from 1 species